rnacentral:rRNA from 1 species
AUUGCCUCAGUAACGGCGAGUGAAGCGGCAACAGCUCAAAUUUGAAAUCUGGCCCUAGGCCCGAGUUGUAAUUUGCAGAGGAUGCUUUUGGCAAGGUGCCUUCCGAGUUCCCUGGAACGGGACGCCAUAGAGGGUGAGAGCCCCGUCUGGUCGGACACCGAGCCUCUGUAAAGCUCCUUCGACGAGUCGAGUAGUUUGGGAAUGCUGCUCAAAAUGGGAGGUAUAUGUCUUCUAAAGCUAAAUACCGGCCAGAGACCGAUAGCGCACAAGUAGAGUGAUCGAAAGAUGAAAAGCACUUUGAAAAGAGAGUUAAAUAGCACGUGAAAUUGUUGAAAGGGAAGCGUUUAUGACCAGACUUGGCCCGGUUGAUCAUCCAGCGUUCUCGCUGGUGCACUCUGCCGGUCCAGGCCAGCAUCAGUUCGUCGCGGGGGAUAAAGGUUUCGGGAAUGUGGCUCCUCCGGGAGUGUUAUAGCCCGUUGCGUAAUACCCUGCGGUGGACUGAGGUCCGCGCUUCUGCAAGGAUGCUGGCGUAAUGGUCAUCAACGACCCGUCUUGAAACACGGACCAAGGAGUCGUCUUCGUAUGCGAGUGUUCGGGUGUAAAACCCCUACGCGUAAUGAAAGUGAACGCAGGUGAGAGCUUCGGCGCAUCAUCGACCGAUCCUGAUGUUCUCGGAUGGAUUUGAGUAAGAGCAUACGGGGCCGGACCCGAAAGAAGGUGAACUAUGCCUGUAUAGGGUGAAGCCAGAGGAAACUCUGGUGGAGGCUCGCAGCGGUUCUGACGUGCAAAUCGAUCGUCAAAUAUGGGCAUGGGCGCGAAAGACUAAU